rnacentral:rRNA from 1 species
AAAAACUGAGGUGGUAUACGAUGGUUCCGCGUCUGAUUAGCUAGUUGGUGGGGUAAAAGCCUACCAAGGCAACGAUCAGUAGCCGGCCUGAGAGGGUGAACGGCCACAUUGGGACUGAGACACGGCCCAAACUCCUACGGGAGGCAGCAGUGGGGAAUAUUGCACAAUGGGGGAAACCCUGAUGCAGCGACGCCGCGUGAGUGAAGAAGUAUUUCGGUAUGUAAAGCUCUAUCAGCAGGGAAGAAAUACUGACCAUAGGGUCAGCAGACGGUACUUGACUAAGAAGCCCCGGCUAACUACGUGCCAGCAGCCGCGGUAAUACGUAGGGGGCAAGCGUUAUCCGGAUUUACUGGGUGUAAAGGGAGCGUAGACGGCAGCGCAAGUCUGAAGUGAAAUGCCAGGGCUUAACCCUGGAACUGCUUUGGAAACUGUGCAGCUAGAGUGCAGGAGAGGUAAGUGGAAUUUCUAGUGUAGCGGUGAAAUGCGCAGAUAUUAGGAGGAACACCAGUGGCGAAGGCGGCUUACUGGACUGUAACUGACGUUGAGGCUCGAAAGUGUGGGGAGCAAACAGGAUUAGAUACCCUGGUAGUCCACGCUGUAAACGAUGAUUACUAGGUGUUGGGGGACCAAGGUUCUUCG